rnacentral:rRNA from 1 species
CCUGGUUGAUCCUGCCAGUAGUCAUACACUUGUCUCAAGGAUUAACCCAUGCAUGCGUAAGUAUAGUAUAAUACGGCGGAACUGCGAAUAGCUCAUUAAAACAGUUAUAAUUUACUUGAUGGAUAAAUAUAUGGAUAACUCCAGCAAACUAGAGCUAAUACAUGCGUGAAGGCCUAACUUCGGAAGGGCUGUAUUUAUUAGAUAACGCCAACUUAAUGGUGAGUCAUAAUAACUAAGCGGAUCGCGGAUUACUCUGCGAUGGAUCAUUCAAGUAUCUGCCCCAUCAGCUUCGAUGGUGGUGUAUUGGACCACCAUGGCUAUAACGGGUAACGGGGAAUAAGGGUUCGAUUCCGGAGAAAGAGCUUGAGAAACGGCUAUUACUUCUCAGGAAGGCAGCAGGGGCGUAAAUUACCCAAUCUUCACUUGAAGGAGGUAGCGACAAAAUAUAUCUGUCCUCGAACUUCGUGGACGGGAAUGAGUGCGAAAUAAACACUCGCACGAGAAACAAUUGGAGGGCAAGACUGGUGCCAGCAGCCGCGGUAAUUCCAGCUCCAAUAGUGUAUAUUAGAGUUGUUGCAGUUAAAAAGCUCGUAGUUGUAUUUCACGGGGCCGCGGUCGCAAGACCAAGGUUCCGUUCAUCUGUUAACAAACUUGUGCAAACAGGUUUGAGCUCAGAUCGUUACCUAGAGAAAAUUAGAGUGUUCAUGGCAGGCAAGGCCUGAAUACGACAGCUUGGAAUAACAAAUCAUUGGCCGUGGUCUGUGGUUGGUGGGACUAUGCGCUUGUUUAAUAGGAGCAGUCGGGGACACGGGUACUGGUCUGUCAGGGGUGAAAUCCUUGGAUCAUGCCAGGACCAACCGAAGCGAAGGCGCGUGCCAAGCAUGUCUUCGUUAAUCAAGAGCUAAAGCCAGGGGAUCAAAGACGAUCGGAUACCGUCGUAGUCCUGGCCCUAAACGAUGCCGACUAGGGAUUGGAGGAGACGUGAGCUCCUUCAGCACCUAAGGAGAAAUCAAAGUCUUUGGGCUCUGGGGGGAGUAUGGUCGCAAGGCUGAAACUCGAAGGAAUUGACGGAAGGGCACCACCAGGAGUGGAGUCUGCGGCUUAAUUGGACGCGGAACCGAGAAAUUUACCAGGGUAGGACAACGUAAGGAUUGACAGAUUGAUAGCUCUUUCUUGAUUUGUUGAGUGGUGGUGCAUGGCCGUUCCCAGCUGGUGGAGUGAUUUAAUGGUUAAUUCCUGAAACCAGCGAGACCUUCUCCCGAACUAAUUAGCGCGGAGGACUGCGCAAGUAGCCCUCCGUUGCUGCUUAGGGGGACCGCAGGGGAUAUCCCUGAGGAAGGUGAAGGCAAUAACAGGUCUGUGAUGCCCUUAGAUACCCUGGGCUGCACGCGUGCUACAAUGAUGCACUCAAUAAGUUUCGAGCCCGGAAGGGUUAGGUAACCUCGAAUAUGCAUCGUAACUGGGACAGAUCUUUGUAAUUAUAGAUCUCGAACAAGGAAUUCCUUGUAAGUGCAAGUCAUCAGCUUGCGCUGAAUAAGUCCCUGCCCUUUGUACACACCGCCCGUCGCCCCCGCUGAAACGGAUUAAUGCUUAGCCGAGCUGCCUGGAUCACCGUUCAUUUGGUGAAUAAAGGACGCAAGGCCUUGAACGUAGAAGCGGGAUGGACGUAACAAGGUUUCCGUAGGAGAACCUGCGGAAG